GUCAGUCUGUCCGAGUGGUCUAAGGAGCCAGACUUGAAAUCUGGUGGGCUCUGCCCGCACAGGUUCGAACCCUGUGGCUGACG
rnacentral:tRNA from 1 species